GUCCCCCGGCUGCCGCCCGCCCCAGAGCGCCGGCUGUGGCGUGGGUGGGCGUGCGCGGCGCGGUUGCCUUCCGCGGUCCUUCGCGCCCCGGCCGAGCUGGCGAGCCCCGCGGUGUGCGGGCCGGCCGCACGGAGCUGGAGGUGCGGCUGCAACGCGGAGGGGCCUGACGGGGACCUCCACCCUCCUCGGCGGGAGCCUCAGGGGGUCCCGGUUUCCUUAAGCAGCAGCUGUGGCCAACCUGUGCGCGCAGGACCGGGCCACGGCGCAGGACCGCGAAGCCGGGCGGCCGCGUCGGCUCCUGCGUAAAUAUUUAUUCCGCAUGUAUUCCAGACAUGGUCUUUGUUCUUCCAGAGCUCACCGUACCCUCGAGGAAACAGGUAUUGAACAAUCAGACUCAUGAUUAAAUGCAACUAUGAUCAGUUCUCAAAUGCAAAGUUGCUAAGGGUUCACGAGGAAACCUAAUCUAAGGAAAUAACCUUUCAGGUUGCCCAGGAGAGGCAGCAGUGAGACACUUCAGGUAGAGAGAAGAAAGUGUGCAGAAGCAGCCUACGCAGGUGGGGUUGAAGUGGAGGGGAUGUGAGACCAGUUGGAGAGGCAGGCAGCAGAAGCCAGAACGUUCAGGACCUUGUGGGCCAUUUUAAAUAAGGAUUUUAUCUUAUGAGCCUUGGCAGGUCACUGAAAGGCUGUAAGGGUUGGGAGUGGGUGACGGUGAUCUCCUUUUAUUUCCUCAAAGAUUGGUGAGGUAACCGUGUAACCAUGUGAACAGCUGAUUGAUGGAAGGUCAGGGUCCUGGCUUGACCUCUUGACACAUCCCUGCCUAAGCUACUUGGUGAGUGUAUAGGGUUUUCAGUUUCUACACCACCCUGCUUUCCUAUGUCCCGGUUUUGGGGGGCUUUCAAAGUGCCUCUCUGUAAUAGUCCCUAGCUUGUUAAUUUUUAAUCUGCUGUAGUUUUAGGAAGGAAGUUAAUUAUCCUUGUUAGAAUUUCCCACCAAGUAAGGAGAUACAGGUUCUGAGGGAGAAGUUCUUUCCUCUGCAUAGACUUGUUGCCAUUUGGUUUCUUAUGUCAGAGAUGGUUCUGCUUAUUUUCUCCUUUUGCAUUGUGUUUCCAGGGAGGCGAAGUUCCUUGAUGCCUGAGUGAGAGAUACAUUAUUGCUAAUAAUACCAUCCCCUCAAAUCCUGCAUUACAGGAUUUUUGUGCAAAUGAAAGAAAGUGUGUAAAUUACUUUGCAAAGCAUUGCGUGCCAUAUGAAUGGAAGUAAUAAUUGUUAUAAUGGCUGCUUAGAGAUCUUCAAAACUAAUUAGUUACCAGAUUUUAGUAUUUGGAAAAUACUCCUUUCUCCUCCCCCCACCCUCCCACAAAAGACACAAAUAUACCUAUCCCUUAUGGACAGUGCAAAUCGUCGUCCUAAGUGCUCAUGUUACCCUUUGUGCCUUGUCUGGCAGGAAACUGAAAGCCAAAUUUGCAGGUUAUUGUAGGAAAUGAGUGGCUCCACAGGGCAUUCAUAUCUAUGUCUUAGCUCUUCCUUUGGUCUUGUUCUUCUAUCUGUAGUUUUCCUGUGCCUGCUUUAUUGGUAUUUUCCUAAUUUAUUAUAGGUAUUCUUAUAAACCACUUCAAAUAUAUGUCUCCACCUACUUUUAACAAGGGUAUUCAGUGUUUCAGAAGGCAGUAUAUAAAACAAUGGCAACUGGCCAACCAUUGUAGCAGGUAAGUACUGUAGACACUGUGCCAAGUGACUGGGAUUCAGACUGAAGCCUUGACCAGCAUUGAAUGUGGAUCAGAAAUCUCUGUGCAUACCAGUUUAGAGCCUUGUAUUAUAGGCCAACUCAUUUGGCCGCCCCCCACCCCCACUGGCUCAUAGGUAAUUUCCUUUGGUGUGAUCUCUGAGUUCCCAAAUUCCAUCAGCCUACCCUGUACCAAGCACUGUUUGUCACUUGGUAAGAGGGCAGGGAUCCAUGAACUUUUAUUCAUUAGGGUUUUUUUUUUUUUUUUUGUCAGCAAAGACCUGAAGAUUCCAGGAUUUGCUAAAUUCAGUCACACCUCACAAGAGUGCGACCAUGUCUUUCAGCCUUUGGUAUGACUCUGGACAGCCACAACUAGACAUGUCUCUUCUGGCAGAAGUAGAUUCAAGUUCCUUAGUGAUUACCUUCUUUCUCUCUCAGUCCUCAAGUUUAAGUCUUUUUUUUUUUUUUUAAGAUUUUAUUUAUUUAUUUGAGAGAGAGCGAGAGAGCAGAAGAGCACAGCUGGGGGAGGGGAGGGGAGGGGCAGAGGGAGAAGCAGACUGUC
ensembl:lncRNA